rnacentral:rRNA from 1 species
UACGUAGGGGGCAAGCGUUGUCCGGAUUUAUUGGGCGUAAAGAGCGUGUAGGCGGCCAUACAGGUCAGCUGUGAAAACUCGAGGCUCAACCUCGAGACGUCGGUUGAAACCGUUUGGCUAGAGUCCGGAAGAGGAGAGUGGAAUUCCCGGUGUAGCGGUGAAAUGCGCAGAUAUCGGGAAGAACACCCGUGGCGAAGGCGGCUCUCUGGAACGGUACUGACGCUGAGACGCGAAAGCGUGGGGAGCGAACAGG